UACGUAGGGUGCGAGCGUUGUCCGGAAUUAUUGGGCGUAAAGAGCGUGUAGGCGGUCCGGUAAGUCCGCUGUGAAAGUCAAGGGCUCAACCCUUGAAUGCCGGUGGAUACUGUCGGGCUAGAGUCCGGAAGAGGCGAGUGGAAUUCCUGGUGUAGCGGUGAAAUGCGUAGAGAUCAGGAAGAACAUCGGUGGCGAAGGCGCUCUGCUGGACGGAUACUGACGCUGAGACGCGAAAGCGUGGGGAGCGAACAGG
rnacentral:rRNA from 1 species